UACGGGGGGAGCAAGCGUUGUUCGGAUUUACUGGGCGUAAAGGGCGCGUAGGCGGCCACCGCAAGUCGACUGUGAAAUCUCCGGGCUUAACCCGGAAAAGGUCAGCCGAUACUGCGGGGCUAGAGUGCAGAAGGGGCAACUGGAAUUCUCGGUGUAGCGGUGAAAUGCGUAGAUAUCGAGAGGAACACCUGCGGCGAAGGCGGGUUGCUGGGCUGACACUGACGCUGAUGCGCGAAAGCCAGGGGAGCGAACGGG
rnacentral:rRNA from 1 species